rnacentral:tRNA from 1 species
GGUUUAGUAGUGUAGUGGUUAUCACGUCUGUUUCACCCACAGAAUGUCGCGAGUUCGAAUCUCGCCUGAACCU